rnacentral:rRNA from 1 species
AUUGAACGCUGGCGGAAUGCAUUACACAUGCAAGUCGAACGGCAGCACGGGGGCAACCCUGGUGGCGAGUGGCGAACGGGUGAGUAAUACAUCGGAACGUGCCCAGUCGUGGGGGAUAACGUAGCGAAAGUUACGCUAAUACCGCAUACGAUCUACGGAUGAAAGCGGGGGACCGUAAGGCCUUGCGCGAUUGGAGCGGCCGAUGUCAGAUUAGGUAGUUGGUGAGGUAAAGGCUCACCAAGCCGACGAUCUGUAGCUGGUCUGAGAGGACGACCAGCCACACUGGGACUGAGACACGGCCCAGACUCCUACGGGAGGCAGCAGUGGGGAAUUUUGGACAAUGGGCGCAAGCCUGAUCCAGCCAUUCCGCGUGCAGGACGAAGGCCUUCGGGUUGUAAACUGCUUUUGUACGGAACGAAAAGGCUCUGGUUAAUACCUGGGGCUCAUGACGGUACCGUAAGAAUAAGCACCGGCUAACUACGUGCCAGCAGCCGCCGUAA